rnacentral:rRNA from 1 species
ACCAUCUAGCGACCUCCACGGCAUGCCUAAUACAUGCAAGUCGAGCGAACAGACGAGGAGCUUGCUCCUCUGACGUUAGCGGCGGACGGGUGAGUAACACGUGGAUAACCUACCUAUAAGACUGGGAUAACUUCGGGAAACCGGAGCUAAUACCGGAUAAUAUAUUGAACCGCAUGGUUCAAUAGUGAAAGACGGUUUUGCUGUCACUUAUAGAUGGAUCCGCGNCGCAUUAGCUAGUUGGUAAGGUAACGGCUNACCAAGGCAACGAUNCGUAGCCGACCUGAGAGGGUGAUCGGCCACACUGGAACUGAGACACGGUCCAGACUCCUACGGGAGGCAGCAGUAGGGAAUCUUCCGCAAUGGGCGAAAGCCUGACGGAGCAACGCCGCGUGAGUGAUGAAGGUCUUCGGAUCGUAAAACUCUGUUAUUAGGGAAGAACAAAUGUGUAAGUAACUAUGCACGUCUUGACGGUACCUAAUCAGAAAGCCACGGCUAACUACGUGCCAGCAGCCGCGGUAAUACGUAGGUGGCAAGCGUUAUCCGGAAUUANUGGGCGUAAAGCGCGCGNAGGCGGUUUUUUAAGUCUGAUGUGAAAGCCCACGGCUCAACCGUGGAGGGUCAUUGGAAACUGGAAAACUUGAGUGCAGAAGAGGAAAGUGGAAUUCCAUGUGUAGCGGUGAAAUGCGCAGAGAUAUGGAGGAACACCAGUGGCGAAGGCGACUUUCUGGUCUGUAACUGACGCUGAUGUGCGAAAGCGUGGGGAUCAAACAGGAUUAGAUACCCUGGUAGUCCACGCCGUAAACGAUGAGUGCUAAGUGUUAGGGGGUUUCCGCCCCUUAGUGCUGCAGCUAACGCAUUAAGCACUCCGCCUGGGGAGUACGACCGCAAGGUUGAAACUCAAAGGAAUUGACGGGGGCCCGCACAAGCGGUGGGUUGGUGGAGGUCGCUAGAUGGUC